rnacentral:rRNA from 1 species
CCUACGGGGGGCUGCAGUGGGGAAUAUUGCACAAUGGGGGAAACCCUGAUGCAGCGACGCCGCGUGAGGGAAGAAGUAUCUCGGUACGUAAAGCUCUAUCAGCAGGGAAGAAAAUGACGGUACCUGACGAAGAAGCCCGGGCUAAAUACGUGCCAGCAGCCGCGGUAAUACGUAGGGGGCAAGCGUUAUCCGGCUUUACUGGGGGGAAAGGGGGCGUAGACGGGAGCACAAGUCUGGAGUGAAAUCCCGGGGCUUAACCCCGGAACUGCUUUGGAAACUGUGCGGCUGGAGUGCAGGAGGGGUAAGCGGAAUUCCUGGUGUAGCGGUGAAAUGCGUAGAUAUUAGGAGGAACACCGGUGGCGAAGGCUGCUUACUGGACUGUAACUGACGUUGAGGCUCGAAAGCGUGGGGAGCAAACAGGAUUAGAUACCCCUGUAGUC